CGAGCUCUCCCAAAUUGAUUUUAUGCUUGCAUAAAUGAUUUUUGGAUUCGGAGCGAGUGGCGAACUGGUGAGUAACACGUGGGUAACCUGCCCCGAAGCGGGGGAUAACAUUUGGAAACAAGUGCUAAUACCGCAUAAUUAGUUGGAACCGCAUGGUUCCAACUUGAAAGAUGGCUCUGCUAUCACUUUGGGAUGGACCCGCGCCGUAUUAGUUAGUUGGUGAGAUAAAAGCCCACCAAGACGAUGAUACGUAGCCGACCUGAGAGGGUAAUCGGCCACAUUGGGACUGAGACACGGCCCAGACUCCUACGGGAGGCAGCAGUAGGGAAUCUUCCACAAUGGACGAAAGUCUGAUGGAGCAACGCCGCGUGAGUGAUGAAGGUUUUCGGAUCGUAAAACUCUGUUGUUAAAGAAGAACAAGUGUUAGAGUAACUGUUAACACUUUGACGGUAUUUAACCAGAAAGCCACGGCUAACUACGUGCCAGCAGCCGCGGUAAUACGUAGGUGGCAAGCGUUGUCCGGAUUUAUUGGGCGUAAAGCGAGCGCAGGCGGUUUUGUAAGUCUGCUGUGAAAGCCCUCAGCUCAACUGAGGAAGUGCAGUGGAAACUACAAAACUUGAGUACAGAAGAGGAAAGUGGAACUCCAUGUGUAGCGGUGAAAUGCGUAGAUAUAUGGAAGAACACCAGUGGCGAAGGCGGCUUUCUGGUCUGUUACUGACGCUGAGGCUCGAAAGCAUGGGUAGCGAACAGGAUUAGAUACCC
rnacentral:rRNA from 2 species